rnacentral:rRNA from 1 species
CAUUUUAGUUUGCUUGCAAACUGAAGAUGGCGACCGGCGCACGGGUGAGUAACACGUAUCCAACCUGCCGAUAACUCCGGAAUAGCCUUUCGAAAGAAAGAUUAAUACCGGAUAGUAUACGAAUAUCGCAUGAUAUUUUUAUUAAAGAAUUUCGGUUAUCGAUGGGGAUGCGUUCCAUUAGUUUGUUGGCGGGGUAACGGCCCACCAAGACUACGAUGGAUAGGGGUUCUGAGAGGAAGGUCCCCCACAUUGGAACUGAGACACGGUCCAAACUCCUACGGGAGGCAGCAGUGAGGAAUAUUGGUCAAUGGGCGCGAGCCUGAACCAGCCAAGUAGCGUGAAGGAUGAAGGCUCUAUGGGUCGUAAACUUCUUUUAUAUGGGAAUAAAGUUUUCCACGUGUGGAAUUUUGCAUGUACCAUAUGAAUAAGGAUCGGCUAACUCCGUGCCAGCAGCCGCGGUAAUACGGAGGAUCCGAGCGUUAUCCGGAUUUAUUGGGUUUAAAGGGAGCGUAGGUGGAUUGUUAAGUCAGUUGUGAAAGUUUGCGGCUCAACCGUAAAAUUGCAGUUGAAACUGGCAGUCUUGAGUACAGUAGAGGUGGGCGGAAUUCGUGGUGUAGCGGUGAAAUGCUUAGAUAUCACGAAGAACUCCGAUUGCGAAGGCAGCUCACUAGACUGUUACUGACACUGAUGCUCGAAAGU